UGCAUCGGCCGGGAAUCGAACUCCUGGCCGCCCGCGUGCUGGCAGGCAGCAUUCUACCACUGAACCACCGAUAUGC